AUGAUGAGUAUCUUUUUAUUUUUUUUAAUAAAUUUUGGGUUUGGUGAUUUUAUAUCUUAUAUUCAGUUAUUGUAUAGUAAUGUUUCUGUUAUGGUCAAAGCAGGUGGUGGAUUAAGUGCACCCAUACCCAUCACGAGAGGGAUAAAGCAAGGUUGUCCGCCUUCUGGACAGUUAUAUAGGUUGAUGAUAGAGCCAUCGUGUAGACUGAGGAGGGUUCAUGAAGGAAUUGUAAUUCCUAGUAUAAAUGAUUAUUUAAAAUUAUUUUUGUCAGUGUAUGCUGAUUAUAUUACUGCUUUUAGUCAGGAUGAUAUUACAGUUUUAACUCAAACUAUUGAAAUUAUAUAUAUAUAUAAUUUCAGUAGUAAAAGAAACCUCCUCUACAAUAGUUAACUGGACUAAAAGUGAAGGAUUGAUUUAUUAUUGGUAGGUGGAAAGAAACUGGGUUUUCUAAACUUCUAGGCGGGUUACAUUGGAGACAGGAUGGUUUGAAAGCAUUAGGUGUUUUUUUUUUUUUUAUGGAAUAACAAUUUUCAAAAGAAAAAUUGGGAAAGUCUGCUGGAGAAGGUGUCUGUUAAAUUGGCAAAAUGGAACUGGCUAUUACCACAAUUGUCCUAUAGAGGGAGAGUUCUAGUUAUUAACAACUUGGCUGCAUCAAUGUUGUGGCAUAGGACUAUUGUUUUGUAGCCACCUGAAGAACUUAUUUCUAAUAUACAAAGGACAUUUGUUAAUGUAUUUUGAAGUGGACCGCAUUGGAUCCACGCAGCAGCACUUUAUUUACCAGUUCAAGAGGGUGGUCAAGACUUGGUGGAUGUGAGGAGUUGGAUCCGAGCAUUUAGGAUUCAAGCUGUACAGAGACUCCUUUAUAACAAAGAUGUGGCAUGUUUUUUUGUUUUGUUUUUUUUUUGGUUUAGACUUGGUCUUGAUAGACGUCUGCUUUUAAUGAUGUUAGAAGAGGUAACCUGUCAAAGCUUCUGCUUUUUUUUAUAGGUCUAUGCUACUGGCAUGUAGAACUGUUUUUAGUGUGGAACGAGAUGUGGAUGAUCCAGUAUACUGGACUCCAGAGGAACCUCUGCUUUCUAAUCCAGUGAUUCAGACAAGACUGUUGUCUAAAGACAUGCUUAUUGAGGAAUGGUGUUCAGAAGAUUGGACAUCUUCUAGAUAAAAGGGGAUGGAAAUCAACAGAGGCACUUCAAGAAAUGACAGGAAUGAAUGCCUUGUCUCAAAAUUAAAGGAAGAAACCUGUAAUGCAUUACCUAGAGGCUGCAGGAACUGUAUUGGACUAAGCUGAAGAUAUAGAACAUUUGUGGUUGAGGUGGAUUAGAUUGCAAGGUCUUUUUAAUUUGUUUAAGAUUUUGUUUAGUAAUUUUAAUGAAGAAUUUUCUGAAAAAGUGUUUAAUGGGGGAAUGAAAUAUAACUUUUUAAUGAGGAAGAAAAUGUGUUAAAUAUAUUAUUUAAUUUGAACAACUAAACUGGCAAUUUGGAAAACAAGAAAGAAUAAAGGGUUACAACUUUCUACAGUGGAUCCUGAAAUGAUGUUUCAAUGUUUGAUAAAAGGAAGAAACUGAGUUUGACUAUUAUAGGCUUAUAAAUAAUGUUGUACUUUUUGUAAUGUGUGGGAUGUUAAUGAGGUCCUUUGUAUAAUUUAUGAUAACUUGUAGUGAAUUUUAAAGUUGUUAAUUGUACUUAUUUAUUAAAAAGUGAUGUAAGUUUUAUAGGCUAAUAAAGUGCUUCUCCCUCUCUCUCUCUCUCUCUCUCUCUCUCUCUCUCUCUCUGUCUCUCUCUCUUUCUCUCUCUCUCUCUCUCUCUCAUAAUUUAUAGUUUAUUUACCCAUGCACUACUUAAGUAAUUAGUAAACCUGAUGCUGUUCUAAAGCCAUAUUAGCCUUUUCCCCCAGAUCACAGAAGAUGAGUUAUUUAUAUAAAAAAUAAAAAUAAAAAAAAUGCUUGCACUUGUCCAUUGAAUGGAAUGUAACCUUCUUCAAUCUUUUUACAAAAGGAUUCAAAUGUCAUAAAAUUAUCUUAAGCAACUCUUUCCAUAUCCCAAGUGUUCUUAAUGCAUACAGUAGGGUUUGCCAAGAAACAAAUUUGAAAUCUAAUCUAUUAUUAAGUGAAAAUCUCCAAUGAUCGCAUUUGUGCAUUUGUAUGAGUGUGCAGCAGCUUGUUUUCUAGUCUUUCUUGAUCUUUCUUUGCCCACAAAUCUUCACAGUGUGAUUGUGCAGCCCAGUAUAACAUAGUAUAACACAACACAACAGUGAUCUGAUGUAUGAUAAAUAGAACAUUUUGAGUGUUUCUUUAACUGUUGAUGUUUCGCUUGAAUGUUUCUUUUGCCAGGCUGUUUUCCAUUCUAGCUUCAAUAAAAUUCAGUUCACUGACAACCAUAAAAGCCACUGAGGAAGAGCAAUGUUUCAGUCUGAGGGAAAAAUUUCAUACUCAGUCAUUUUCUAAUAUCCAGCAGUAAGAGGUGGUUAUUCUACCAUCCUAAUGUCUUCAGGCUUCUGUGACACGACUGGGCAAUAAAUAAAUAAACUAUCCAGGAAAUGAAUCUCAAAGUCCUUCGCAAGUGUCUUCUGAUCAAUCAAGUAAUUUUAUCAUUGGACCGGAUGGUCGUCCUCCAGCCGCAUCGGGCCAUAGUGAUGAGCGCAAGCCAGCACAGGGACAUUUCCUUAAGAUGAUACUGAAGAAAUUAAUCAGAUUGAUUGAUGUGAUCUGAGAAAGAUCUCGGAU
ensembl:lncRNA